UUCUAUGAUGAAUAAAAUCAAAUCACCAUCUUUCGGCUGA
ensembl:snoRNA snoZ196 Small nucleolar RNA Z196/R39/R59 family